rnacentral:misc_RNA from 1 species
GCGAGUUCUCGAUAAAACUCCGUAACCCUGCGCGAACCCUACUACUGUUGCCUCGGCGUCGUCCGCCCCUGCGAGACGCCAGUGGGCCCAUAAACUAAACUCUGCUAUGGCUGCUCACCGCGGCCACUGUGAAUAUCUGAACCGCCUUAACUGAAAUACGUUAA